rnacentral:tRNA from 1 species
GCGUUCGACUGGGGAAUGUCGCUGGCUCCGAUGUGGUUCUCGACCAUGUUCGGUGUUUACUUCUUCGCAGGUUCAAUCCUGGCCGCACAUU